UACGAAGGGGGCGAGCGUUGUUCGGAUUUAGUCGUGGGCGUAAAGGGCGCGCAGGCGGCGCAUUUUGUCAGGCGGUGAAAGCCCCGGGCUUAACCUGGGAACUGCGUUUGGAUACGGAUGGGCUAGAGUUCGGGAGAGGAGAGUGGAAUUCCCAGUGUGAGAGGUGAAAUUCGAUAGAUAUUGGGAAGAACACCGGUGGCGAAGGCGGCUCACUGGCCCGAUA
rnacentral:rRNA from 1 species